AAAAAGGAGCUCAGACAAGAUCUCAACAUGGUAAUUCAGACUCAUUAGAGCAGAUAUCAAUCGUCAUCGCUU
ensembl:ncRNA Y39G10AR.26 ncRNA